CAAUGGCUUGAAUCAAAUAACAUUGCCUCCCUUUGUUCCAGGAGAUUUUACACUUAUAUGGCUUCUACCCUCUGGAUUAUCUGGAAAUCAAGGAACGAACUCAUAUUCAGGAUGGUUGAUCCCUCACCAACAGAAGCAAUUUCAAGGAUUCAAAAUCUUCAUGAUUCUAUAGCUAAAGCUUUCUCUCUUGACAUUUUGCAAAAUCAUCAUCCAAGGAUUCAAGCAAAAUAAUAUGGCUGGUGGAGCUGCCAUUGCUCAGGGUUGUAGAGGCUCGCAAAUUCAAUUUUGUUAAACAAAAUUCAAGUCAGGCUUCUCACUCUCCGUUCUAUCCUACUUACUCUCAAAAAAUCAUAAUAUUUUUUCGUGCCAAAAUAGGAUAGAAACUCCAACCAACACUCGAUGAUAUCAAUAAUCUCCUCCACUUUGUUCAUAUACAAGACAAGCCAAUGAACACUAAACGAUGGACGACAUGUGCUUCCAGGGCAUAUAUUAAUUUUCUGUGGUCUUAAUUGAUAGAAUAUAAUGACUGUUAGUCUGUUAGGCAGUUAGUAGUUAUUCUGUUAAAGUAUUCU
rnacentral:lncRNA from 1 species